rnacentral:lncRNA from 1 species
UAUUAUUUUAACUCAACUAAUGACAAGAAUAAGCUUAUCGGUUUAAUGGUAUGACUUCAACUUACUCAGAGGUCCCGUGUUUGAAUCUUGCGUGUGCAAAGAGGAAUUAUUUUUGUUUUAAACUCUGGGAAAAUUCUGAUAAGGAUAACUAAUCACAUUUACUAGGAGCUGGUGGGUGUUUUUUAAAAAAAAAAAGAAAAAGAAGAGAAUUAUAUCCUAAAUGCUCUCACAUGUUUCCCACUCCCUCUCACGUCCCGCACUCUCUCCCUCUAUCAUUUUUGUCGUAAAUUUGUUUUUCUCAUCCAUUUUUCCUAAUUCUAGGUUUUCUUCAUUUUUUUU